rnacentral:rRNA from 1 species
AGGACGAACGCUGGCGGCGUGCUUAACACAUGCAAGUCACGGGGGUCCCGCAAGGGAUAACCGGCGAACGGGUGCGUAACACGUGAGCGACCUGCCUCUUCGCGGGGGAUAGCCGGCCCAACGGCCGGGUAAUACCGCAUACGUUCAGUUUGGGGCAUCCCGAACUGAGGAAACCUCCGGGGCGGAGAGAGGGGCUCGCGGCCUAUCAGCUAGUUGGCGGGUAAUGGCCCACAAGGCAGCGACGGGUAGCU